rnacentral:rRNA from 1 species
CUGCGAAGGGCUCAUUAUAUCAGUUAUAGUUUCUUUGAUAGCUCCCNNCUACAUGGAUAACCGGUAGCUAAUUCUAGAGCUAAUACAUGCGCUAAACCCCGUGCUCANGGGUGUAGUGUUAGUUAUUAUACUAANCAACACUUUGGGUGAAUCAUANUANCUGAAGGAAUCGCUCUUGCAGCGAUGUUUCNUUCAAGUUUCUGCCCUAUCNNANUUUCUAUGGUAGGGUAUUGGCCUACCAUGGCUUUAACGGGUAACGGANAAUUAGGGUUCGAUUCCGGAUAGGGAGCCUGACAAACGGCUACCACAUCCAAGGAAGGCACCAGGCGCGUAAAUUACCCAAUCCUAACACAGGGAGGUAGUGACAANAAAUAACGAUACGGAACCCAANGGGUUUCNUAAUUGGAAUGAGUACAAUUUAAACCCCUUAACGAAAGCCNUU